AUUGAACGCUGGCGGCAUGCUUUACACAUGCAAGUCGAACGGCAGCGCGGGCUUCGGCCUGGCGGCGAGUGGCGAACGGGUGAGUAAUGCAUCGGAACGUGCCCAGUAGUGGGGGAUAGCCCGGCGAAAGCCGGAUUAAUACCGCAUACGACCUGAGGGUGAAAGCGGGGGACCGAAAGGCCUCGCGCUAUUGGAGCGGCCGAUGUCGGGUUAGCUAGUUGGUGGGGUAAAGGCUUACCAAGGCGACGAUCCGUAGCUGGUCUGAGAGGACGACCAGCCACACUGGGACUGAGACACGGCCCAGACUCCUACGGGAGGCAGCAGUGGGGAAUUUUGGACAAUGGGGGCAACCCUGAUCCAGCCAUGCCGCGUGCGGGAAGAAGGCCUUCGGGUUGUAAACCGCUUUUGUUCGGGAAGAAAUCCUCUGGGCUAAUACCCCGGGGGGAUGACGGUACCGGAAGAAUAAGCACCGGCUAACUACGU
rnacentral:rRNA from 1 species